GGCACGCUCUCACUCUCAAACCUAAAACCCCACACCUGACUCUCAAGUAGAUCUUCUCUCUUGCUCUCGCACACAACAGAACUCUCUUCCGAGUCUCAAACCAGCAUCAAUCCAACAUCAAUCUCUUCCAAAUUCUCUUCAAAUCGUUUUGGUUCGAGGAAAACCUAGAAACUGAAAACAUCUCUCUCUCAGACUCUCAAUCUCUUCGACAGUCGAUGGCAGCGGCACGGCCGGUGGCGACACUCGAUCUCCUUGACGGUGGACGACGAGUUCUCCUUACUCCUACAUCAGUACCACCAACAAAUCCAGAGGUUGGAAGGGAAGGGCGUAGAUGGGAAAGAGCGAGCUAACUUCAGCCAAAAAACCCAAGGGAGCUGCAGGAAAUACAUGUUUGGUUAGUGGCAAGGCUGGGGAGAGUGGAAAAGCAACUUCUAGUUCUAGAAUGAUGGAGUUUCACAAAGGCUCUCCUCCUGGUUUUAGAUAGCCCGAUUAAUAAAGCUGGGAAGUUGCGAUGUGUGUAUAUGAAGACCGAGGAUGGUAAACUUAUUGAGAUUAAACCAUAUGUUUGUAUCCUAAGGACGUUUAAGCAGUUCUCUAGUGUCAUGUCUACUACAGAAACUGAGUAUAUCUGCCGUUGGUAAGCGUGAGAAACUUAUGCGUAUGAUCAAGAACCCUGUGACACGGUAUUUACCUGUUAACUCCCGGAAAGUGUAGGAGUAUGGUGCAACCGUGCAAACAAGAAGGGAAGCUUUGACAAGAUGCUUGCAGAUGCUAUGGUAAUUUUGUGCUUUUAUUUAUUUAUUUUGGUCUGCUAUGGUGAUCGUGUUCAAUACACUUCCUUUUUAGGCUAUAUUGCAUGUAUAUGUAGACAUUGGUAAAUGGUACUUGCAUUGAAUUUGGUAAAAUGGUUUUCUCACAUUUUUCAGGAGCAAAUGCAAAUGCGAAGAAAAAAAAACACGGCUUCAGUGCCUGGGAAGCCUCUAGUUUCUAUGCUUGCAACUAGUCUGAAUAUGGAAUGGACUUGUGGAGAGAAGGAUCAUAUUAUUACUUUUUUUUUUUUUUUUUUACCAAAAGCACUCACUGCUGAUAUUUUAUUUUUUGCCAGAUAACACUCAGUGUUCAUAUUCUUCCUCACAUUUGCGCUGCUAGGCUAUGUGAGUAAAACUUUUCUGCGUAGAUAUAUUCACCAAGGUUGGAUUCAGCUCCUCUUAGAUGGGUCAAUUCUGUUCAUGGAUUGCUACUUUUCCUAUACCAGGUUUGCUUAAAUCAUGUUCAAUUUAUGUGUUUGCUGUGCGCCUCUUGUAUUAAUUAACAUAACAUUAUGUGUACAUUGGGAUCUCUCCAUUUUGUUAUUGCCUGCUCUUUGGAUAAUUAUCAGGUAGCUCAAGACUAAAUAAUAAACCUUCGAUGUUGGACAAGGAGUUUAGAAGUUCAAAGCGGGCGACAGAGUUGUAGCAUUUCACCAUGUGAGAAGAGAGCGCCUCUGCUUCAGAAUUGGAAUGAACAGAAGUAGUAGAAGAAAAUGCUUACAACUGAAGCUGCUCAAGGCACAAGGUUGUGUUAACUACUUGUUUCUAUGUAAUUAGUCAAGAUAAUGCAUUGAUGACUUGUACAUCCGGAGUUGUUAAUAUAAAGAUUCAUAUAUAUAAAAAAUUGAUUCUUUGGCUGUAGCUAGUACUUUGUCUAUGUAUCUUAU
rnacentral:lncRNA from 1 species